rnacentral:rRNA from 1 species
GACGAACGCUGGCGGCGUGCCUAAUACAUGCAAGUAGAACGCUGAAGAGAGGAGCUUCCUCUUCUUGGAUGAGUUGCGAACGGGUGAGUAACGCGUAGGUAACCUGCCUUGUAGCGGGGGAUAACUAUUGGAAACGAUAGCUAAUACCGCAUAACAAUGGAUGACACAUGUCAUUUAUUUGAAAGGGGCAAUUGCUCCACUACAAGAUGGACCUGCGUUGUAUUAGCUAGUAGGUGAGGUAAUGGCUCACCUAGGCGACGAUACAUAGCCGACCUGAGAGGGUGAUCGGCCACACUGGGACUGAGACACGGCCCAGACUCCUACGGGAGGCAGCAGUAGGGAAUCUUCGGCAAUGGGGGCAACCCUGACCGAGCAACGCCGCGUGAGUGAAGAAGGUUUUCGGAUCGUAAAGCUCUGUUGUAAGUCAAGAACGGGUGUGAGAGUGGAAAGUUCACACUGUGACGGUAGCUUACCAGAAAGGGACGGCUAACUACGU